rnacentral:rRNA from 1 species
GACGAACGCUGGCGGCGUGCCUAAUACAUGCAAGUCGAGCGAAUGGAUGGGAGCUUGCUCCCUGAAGUUAGCGGCGGACGGGUGAGUAACACGUGGGCAACCUGCCUGUAAGACUGGGAUAACUUCGGGAAACCGGAGCUAAUACCGGAUACAUUCUUUCUUCGCCUGAAGAAAGAUGGAAAGAUGGUUUCGGCUAUCACUUGCAGAUGGGCCCGCGGCGCAUUAGCUAGUUGGUGAGGUAACGGCUCACCAAGGCAACGAUGCGUAGCCGACCUGGGAGGGUGAUCGGCCACACUGGGACUGAGACACGGCCCAGAUUCCUACGGGAGGCAGCAGUAGGGAAUCUUCCGCAAUGGACGAAAGUCUGACGGAGCAACGCCGCGUGAGCGAAGAAGGCCUUCGGGUCGUAAAGCUCUGUUGUUAGGGAAGAACAAGUACCAGAGUAACUGCUGGUACCUUGACGGUACCUAACCAGAAAGCCACGGCUAACUACGUGCCAGCCGCCGCCGUAACAC